rnacentral:rRNA from 1 species
GGAGGAUGCGAGCGUUAUCCGGAUUUAUUGGGUUUAAAGGGUGCGUAGGUGGUCUUUUAAGUCAGCGGUGAAAGUUUGUGGCUCAACCAUACAGUUGCCGUUGAUACUGGUUGCCUUGAGUACAGUUGAGGCAGGCGGAAUGUGAUGUGUAGCGGUGAAAUGCUUAGAUAUGUCACAGAACCCCGAUUGCGAAGGCAGCUUGCCAAGCUGUAACUGACGCUGAGGCACGAAAGCGUGGGUAUC